rnacentral:misc_RNA from 1 species
AACGCACGAGACCUGCGGACCUGCGGAAGGAUCAUUAGUGAACGCCCUCGCGGGCUUAUAACUAUUCCAAACCUCUGUGAACCGUGCCCUUCGGGGCUAUUUUACAAACAUGGUGUAAUGAACGUCAUAUAUCAUAACAAAACAAAACUUUCAACAACGGAUCUCU